AUUAGGACAUUAGAAAUCCUAUUCCAAGUAGGACUCUAAUUUAAUUUGAAAUCCUAAUCCAAUUAGGACUCCAUGAUUCCCACUCCAAGUAGGACUCAUGAUCAAGUCCAAUUAAUUAAAUCCAAUUAAUUAAAUUAAAUUACAAUCCGAUUGCAAUUAUUCCUUCUUCUAGCCACUAACUCUUAGCGGGUUUUUAUUUAUCAAUCUAAUUGAUUAUUUGUGAUUCCUAAUCACAUUCAACCAUUGGAUCGGUCAAUACCUCUAAUGUGUGUGACCCCAUAGGUUCCAUUCUGACUGGUAGUGAGAUAUAUUAUGAUCUCUAUCACAAUAUCAUUGAAAACUCCUUUCAAUGGGUUGAAAC
rnacentral:lncRNA from 1 species